UACGUAGGGGGCAAGCGUUGUCCGGAUUCAUUGGGCGUAAAGAGCUCGUAGGCGGCUUGGCAAGUCGGGUGUGAAAACUCCAGGCUCAACCUGGAGACGCCACCCGAUACUGCCAUGGCUUGAGUCCGGUAGGGGACCACGGAAUUCCUGGUGUAGCGGUGAAAUGCGCAGAUAUCAGGAGGAACACCGGUGGCGAAGGCGGUGGUCUGGGCCGGCACUGACGCUGAGGAGCGAAAGCGUGGGGAGCGAACAGG
rnacentral:rRNA from 1 species